UUUGGCACUUAAGGAAUUGUCAC
rnacentral:miRNA from 1 species